GUCAUGUGGCUGCGCGGGGCUCGGAUCCCAUGGCUCUUCUGUGACGACCUGCAGGGCCAGUUCCUUCACUCACCGAGAGUUCUUAAGGCCUCUCUGAGUCAGAGGACUCCUACUUAAUACCGGUUUCGGCCCGCUGACCUAUUAUUAUUUUUUUCCCCUCUGAGCAUCCGGAAAGGGCUGGCGUGGUGCAGCGGCAGGCUCCUGGCAGCUACAUGGGCCCCAGCCCUUGGGGAGUGAGUUGGCGCUUCCUUUGCCAGCACAAGCCCUACAUGGAGGAGCCCUUUUAUUUUGCUGUCAGGGCAAUGAGACCCCCCACCCAACACAUACACACUCCACUCUACCAACCCGCACUCCUCCCCAGCAUCCCCAUUCCCAUCCCCCAGUCAACAGCUUCAUCUUUAUUUUGGCAAAUAUGAUGGACACAAGAGGCCAGCUGGGAAGGGAAACCAAGGCCCUAAGAGCUGCCCAGGCCUGAGGAGCGGCAGAUGGAGAUGCCUGGGUGUCUGAGUGCAGGAGCUUCAAGCUGCCUGUAUCUCCAGCACCCAGUCACCUGCUGUCCCAUCUGGUUGCCCCCCUGAAUCCCAUCUGUGCCCUUUGCUCUAUCUCGAAAGAGACCUGGGCCUGCAAGAGGAAGAGAAUCGCCUGAGGACACAGGAGCGGGGACGGGAGCCAGGCUUUGAGUCAGUCCUCCCUCUCCUGGGCAAGCCAUGGAUCAUCCUGCCCAGCACUUCUCGUCCUUGACGGCUGAGUUCUGAAGGGAGGAAGGCAAGACCCGAAGAGACAGAUGGACACUCCCAGGAUGACACAGUUCACAGCAAGGCCAAGAUGCAAAUUAAUCUCCUAACUCUCAUUACAACAGCUUCUACUUUUGCCUCUUCUGGGUUCUUUCAUUCACUCAACAGACAUUUGCAGAGUUAGCUCAUAGUCUCUCUUAAGUUUUAGAUAUUUGAAGAUAAGCGUUAAAAGUCCCUAUGAUUGGGGAACCCACAGCUUAUGGGAGAGGCAAGUAUUAGAGGUGAUUUACUACAACUCGAGGGAUUUACUGCAACUCGAGGGAUUUACUACGCAAAGUGCUGGGCAUUCCAAGGAGGCAUGGAAGCUCUCUGAACACCAGGGCAGUAACUGCUCUGCCCAGGAGAGUGGGGUCCACUCUUGCACCUUGAAGGACCAGGGAUGAGGAAAGUGGUUCAGAUGAAUUUCUGAAUUAGUCUGACUAGGCUCUGAACCUGGCGCACAAUAAAUGUAGUAAAUAUUGAUGCAAUAAAUAAAGCCCUUGCAAGUCAACAGACAAAAC
rnacentral:lncRNA from 1 species